rnacentral:lncRNA from 7 species
GCAUUUAGCAAUCUGCCAGGGAGCAGGUGCAGCAUCUGACAAAUGCCUUGCUGCAGUUUCCGCCUCCUCUGCAUCCCUUCAGCUUCUGUUUUUUAGUGGAUUGAUAUAUGGGGUCUCCCAUGUGAGCAUUGCAGAUGGAGGGCUGUGAGGCUGAGGCAUCUACACUGCUUUACAACCAGCAUUACAGCACAAGAGUGGUCUUACAGCAGUGAUACAUCCUGAAUCUGAGCUGUGUGAUGAAGCGAGGCCGCACGGCAGUCAUCACCCAUUCCUACAGCAGGCUUCCAAAUACAAACUGAAAAUAUAGCAUCAGGACAGUGGUUUCACCCAAGUCAGGUUCACAAGUCUAUCCACCAUCUGGAGCAAUUACAAGGUGGCUGGAAAGCCAUGGAAAUACUGUUCCCAAAGAAAGGACGUCCACUAGUGGAGGCACGGGUCCAUCCCAGAACCCUCACUCAUACCUCCAGGACAGUGAUGUGCUUCUCCACUAAGAUGCAGAAUGGAAGGGUCUGAGGACCUGAUGUUAACAUUUUUAGACAGCUUCAGGCCAGGGGUUUGGCAGUCAGUCUUACACAAUGGGAAGGUGGUGUCACUUCGUGUCAGAGCAAUCAGGAACAUUGGUGACAAUCCAGAGUUUGCCACAAAAGCUGCAGUGUAACCAGAGCACAUGGAGAGGAAACUUCUGCCAGAGUGCAGACCACCCUGGGGCCCUUCUCUCUGAUCUCAGGCUGUUGGAAAAAGGCAACACUGUCACAGAUACUGAUGUCUGCUCUCAGGUUGAGAGGUGCUUCAGCCCUCUGAUCAUCUUAGUGGCCCUCCUCUGGACCUGCUCCAAGAGCUCCAUGUCCUUCCUGUGCUGGGAACCCCAGGCCUGGAUGCAGUACUGCAGAUGGUGCCUCACAAGAGCUGAUCACCUCCCUCUCCCUGCUGGUCACCUCUGGACUGUUCCUGUUCCCCAGGCUGGAACAUGUGGGCCAAGGACCGUUCCUGAUAGGUGGUAGGAAUGAGGAACCUGCAGGGCAGAUAGAAGCAGUGUGCGGCUGUGCUGUGCUGAACUGCUCUGCUCUUAGGGCAGGGAAGGGAACCUGGCCAGGGUUGGUUCCUGGCAGGGAUGGAGCAUCUGUGUCUCAUUCUGGAAUUCAGGAAAAGUAUUGUAAAAGUACUGCAAGCACAGCAGUGUUUCUGUGAUUAGGAAUGUACUUCCAAUAUGCCCACAAAACCGACACUGACUUUAAGGCUGCUGGUAAAAAAUGUAAGCAAUUAUUCUCUCCAUGCUUGCAGAGUAGUUUCUAUAAAAGGGAUCAUUAAUACUGUCAGAAGUGUAUGUGGACUCUAUUUUCCUGUGUUAUUGCUGCAGAGAUUUUUGUAUUAUGGAGAUUUUUUUUUCUAAUUCAGUGCCUGAUCACAAAAGGGAACAAUCCUAAUUUAAACAUCACUGCUUAUCCUUAUCACAUUUAUAAAAAUGCUU